GGUUCAAUGGUCUAGUGGUUAUGAUUUCUGUCUUACAGCCUCAGUUCCUCCACAGGAUCGAACUCGAAAUGCUGACUAAGCACAGACGGUCCCCAGUUCGACCCUGGGUUGAGCCA